rnacentral:rRNA from 1 species
CCUGGCUCAGAUUGAACGCUGGCGGCAGGCCUAACACAUGCAAGUCGAACGGUAACAGAAAGCAGCUUGCUGCUUUGCUGACGAGUGGCGGACGGGUGAGUAAUGUCUGGGAAACUGCCUGAUGGAGGGGGAUAACUACUGGAAACGGUAGCUAAUACCGCAUAACGUCGCAAGACCAAAGAGGGGGACCUUCGGGCCUCUUGCCAUCGGAUGUGCCCAGAUGGGAUUAGCUUGUUGGUGGGGUAACGGCUCACCAAGGCGACGAUCCCUAGCUGGUCUGAGAGGAUGACCAGCCACACUGGAACUGAGACACGGUCCAGACUCCUACGGGAGGCAGCAGUGGGGAAUAUUGCACAAUGGGCGCAAGCCUGAUGCAGCCAUGCCGCGUGUAUGAAGAAGGCCUUCGGGUUGUAAAGUCUUUCAGCGGGGAGGAAGGGAGUAAAGUUAAUACCUUGGCUCAUUGACGUUACCCGCAGAAGAAGCACCGGCUAACUCGUGCCAGCAACCGCGGUAUUACGAGGGUGCAGGCGUUAUUCGGAAUUACUGGGCGUAAAGCGCACGCAGGCGGUUUGUUAAGUCAGAUGUGAAAUCCCCGGGCUCAACCUGGGAACUGCAUCUGAUACUGGCAAGCUUGAGUCUCGUAGAGGGGGGUAGAAUUCCAGGUGUAGCGGUGAAAUGCGUAGAGAUCUGGAGGAAUACCGGUGGCGAAGGCGGCCCCCUGGACGAAGACUGACGCUCAGGUGCGAAAGCGUGGGGAGCAAACAGGAUUAGAUACCCUGGUAGUCCACGCCGUAAACGAUGUCGACUUGGAGGUUGUGCCCUUGAGGCGUGGCUUCCGGAGCUAACGCGUUAAGUCGACCGCCUGGGGAGUACGGCCGCAAGGUUAAAACUCAAAUGAAUUGACGGGGGCCCGCACAAGCGGUGGAGCAUGUGGUUUAAUUCGAUGCAACGCGAAGAACCUUACCUGGUCUUGACAUCCACGGAAGUUUUCAGAGAUGAGAAUGUGCCUUCGGGAACCGUGAGACAGGUGCUGCAUGGCUGUCGUCAGCUCGUGUUGUGAAAUGUUGGGUUAAGUCCCGCAACGAGCGCAACCCUUAUCCUUUGUUGCCAGCGGUCCGGCCGGGAACUCAAAGGAGACUGCCAGUGAUAAACUGGAGGAAGGUGGGGAUGACGUCAAGUCAUCAUGGCCCUUACGACCAGGGCUACACACGUGCUACAAUGGCGCAUACAAAGAGAAGCGACCUCGCGAGAGCAAGCGGACCUCAUAAAGUGCGUCGUAGUCCGGAUUGGAGUCUGCAACUCGACUCCAUGAAGUCGGAAUCGCUAGUAAUCGUGGAUCAGAAUGCCACGGUGAAUACGUUCCCGGGCCUUGUACACACCGCCC